AACUAUAUAGUUUAAUGGUUAGAACAUUAUACUUCUAAUAUAAUAAUCUAGGUUCGAAUCCUAGUAUAGUUA